GGGCCAGUGGCGCAACGGAUAACGCGCCUGACUACGGAUCAGGAGAUUCCCAGUUCGAAUUCUGGUUGGCUCG
rnacentral:tRNA from 1 species